rnacentral:rRNA from 1 species
CCUACGGGAGGCAGCAGUGGGGAAUUUUGGACAAUGGGCGAAAGCCUGAUCCAGCAAUGCCGCGUGUGGGAAGAAGGCCUUCGGGUUGUAAACCACUUUUGUACGGAACGAAACGGCUCGCUUUAAUACAGCGGGCUAAUGACGGUACCGUAAGAAUAAGCACCGGCUAACUACGUGCCAGCAGCCGCGGUAAUACGUAGGGUGCGAGCGUUAAUCGGAAUUACUGGGCGUAAAGCGUGCGCAGGCGGUUAUAUAAAGACAGUUGUGAAAUCCCCGGGCUCAACCUGGGAAUUGCAUCUGUGACUGUAUAGCUAGAGUACGGUAGAGGGGGAUGGAAUUCCGCGUGUAGCAGUGAAAUGCGUAGAUAUGCGGAGGAACACCGAUGGCGAAGGCAAUCCCCUGGACCUGUGCUGACGCUCAUGCACGAAGGCGUGGGGAGCAAACAGGAUUAGAUACCCUGGUAGUCCACGCCCUAAACGAUGUCAACUGGUUGUUGGGUGCAUUAGUACUCAGUAACGAAGNUAACGCGUGAAGUUGACCGCCUGGGGAUACGGCCGCAAGUUGAAACUCAAGGAAUUGACGGCGNGAGACGACGACGAGACGACGAGAGGAGGAGG